rnacentral:lncRNA from 1 species
UGACUCGCCACUCGAAUGUCCUGGCAAGGACUCUGGAUAAAAAACCACCAUUUUAUAAACACCAUUACAAACACCGCAACACCUAACGAUCCAGUGUGAUGAAUCACAAAACAAAUCUUCGACACAAACAAUCUAAUCCCGAGUGACCUCUUGAAGAAAAACGGCAAGCACAAGUGACAGAUCUACAAGAAUUAUCCCGCAGUGCCACCAAUCACAGGACACUAUUAGACAGGAUGACUGCUGAUGCAGGCACACUGGGUAUUGGAGGAAGAAAAUGGCGCGAGCCAAUCAUUUCUUCGAAAUUUCACGAAUCAACGCUCACUUUCACCAAGGUUUUUGCUGUGCAUACGUGUGACUUCCGAAGGCGCCAGUUUAUCCAAGUGGAGCUUAGAAUAACUAAGUUUGUUGAUACCAACUGGAUGUACCUGGGGAUUUGAAAUUAUUUUUAUUGCUAAUUUUAAAUACUUUUGAAAUA